GAACGCGAAGAACCUUACCAAGGCUUGACAUGCACGGCGGCACUGCAGAGAUGUGGUGGCAUUUAGUUGGUCGUGUGCAGGUGGUGCAUGGUUGUCGUCAGCUCGUGUCGUGAGAUGUUGGGUUAAGUCCCGCAACGAGCGCAACCCUUGCCCUAUGUUGCCAGCACGUUAUGGUGGGGACUCGUGGGGGACUGCCGGGGUUAACUCGGAGGAAGGUGGGGAUGACGUCAAAUCAUCAUGCCCCUUAUGUCUUGGGCUUCACGCAUGCUACAAUGGCUGGUACAGAGGGUUGCGAUACUGUGAGGUGGAGCGAAUCCCUUAAAGCCGGUCUCAGUUCGGAUUGGGGUCUGCAACUCGACCCCAUGAAGGUGGAGUCGCUAGUAAUCGCAGAUCAGCAACGCUGCGGUGAAUACGUUCUCGGGUCUUGUACACACC
rnacentral:rRNA from 1 species